rnacentral:lncRNA from 12 species
UGUGCGCGUGCAGACGGGGGGCGCAUCGCUAACAAAUCGAACCCGCCAUAAAGGCCCGCCCGGGUCUGCAAACACCCGGCCGCCCUUUGCCGAGAGCCCGCCGGUCGGCUCGCCCCGCACCGCGCACCUGGCCCUGGAGCCGCCGGCUGCAGCCCGAGCGCCCAGCUAGACCGCAGGGUGAACUGCCCAGCGCCCCGGAGGCUUCCCGAGGUACUAACUUGAACUCAGGUGAAAAGAGCUGCCGU